GACGUAGGGCGCGAGCGUUGUCCGGAUUUAUUGGGCGUAAAGAGCUCGUAGGCGGCUUGUUGCGUCGACCGUGAAAACCCGCGGCUCAACUGCGGGCUUGCGGUUGAUACGGGCAGGCUGGAGUUCGGUAGGGGAGACUGGAAUUCCUGGUGUAGCGGUGAAAUGCGCAGAUAUCAGGAGGAGCACCGGUGGCGAAGGCGGGUCUCUGGGCCGAUACUGACGCUGAGGAGCGAAAGCGUGGGGAGCGAACAGG
rnacentral:rRNA from 1 species